CAACGCGCAUGCGUAAAUUAACAAUAUAAAUUACAAUUUUUGCAGAGUUUUGAUUGCACAAUUUCUAAAAACGUUCCAAAACUUAAGAUAUUGAAAUGUCUAAGAAAGGCACGUCUUCAGAUCAGAAUCCAGAUACCCAAAACCCAGAGAAAAAGAAAACAGACAAAAACCCCAAGCCUGACCCUGACCCUGACCAACCCUAUGCAACUGUUCAAAGCAACAAAGACGACAUACAAGAUAACCAGUCCUAAGGAAACUGGACAAAAGUGUUGGACAAAUGGCUGCGACAAUGAUGACUUGAAACCCAUUAACUGAUAUGUCCUUAUCUUUCCAAAUAGCUCAUGUGGUUAUGAAAUAUCUCAUAUUAAACUGGAUCACAUGUUAGUGUCAGAUAAUUAUGUUGGCAAUUAAAUAGUGCAGAUUGUGUUGUGGUGUUUUUCUUGUCUGUUAGUAUAUAAAAUAAAAUAUCAUGAUGUCCGAUGUUAAUUUCCUCUUCUAGUCUCUGAGAUCUAAACGGACGGACGGACGGACAGACCACACAUAACUAAUGGCGUCUUUUCUCUUGUCGGGGGCCGCUAAUAAAGUAAAUAGUUGUGCUUUUGAUA
rnacentral:sRNA from 1 species